rnacentral:lncRNA from 1 species
CGAGGCCAAGAGGAGGCGCUGUGAUGACAAGGAGCCCCUCCCACCCCACUCCUAUGACAGUGAUGGAGACAAGAGUGAAGAUAACCUGGUGGUGGAUGUCUCCAAUGAGGAGCCUAACUCCCCUGCUGGCAGCCCCCCUCACUCCCCUCAUGGGAACGGGUUAGACCGAGCUCCGACCUUAAGGAAAGAGCUUCCAGGUUCCCCAGGCCCUGGAGAGGCCCCCUCCUCCCCAAACCCCCGCAGCCCCACCCCUGGGAAGGCCAAGGACUCUGCACAGGUAAGAUCGAGCACCUUAGCAGAAAACCCGCAUGGAAAG